GAGUGGCGAACUGGUGAGUAACACGUGGGAAACCUGCCCAGAAGCGGGGGAUAACACCUGGAAACAGAUGCUAAUACCGCAUAACAACUUGGACCGCAUGGUCCGAGCUUGAAAGAUGGCUUCGGCUAUCACUUUUGGAUGGUCCCGCGGCGUAUUAGCUAGAUGGUGGGGUAACGGCUCACCAUGGCAAUGAUACGUAGCCGACCUGAGAGGGUAAUCGGCCACAUUGGGACUGAGACACGGCCCAAACUCCUACGGGAGGCAGCAGUAGGGAAUCUUCCACAAUGGACGAAAGUCUGAUGGAGCAACGCCGCGUGAGUGAAGAAGGGUUUCGGCUCGUAAAACUCUGUUGUUAAAGAAGAACAUAUCUGAGAGUAACUGUUCAGGUAUUGACGGUAUUUAACCAGAAAGCCACGGCUAACUACGUGCCAGCAGCCGCGGUAAUACGUAGGUGGCAAGCGUUGUCCGGAUUUAUUGGGCGUAAAGCGAGCGCAGGCGGUUUUUUAAGUCUGAUGUGAAAGCCUUCGGCUCAACCGAAGAAGUGCAUCGGAAACUGGGAAACUUGAGUGCAGAAGAGGACAGUGGAACUCCAUGUGUAGCGGUGAAAUGCGUAGAUAUAUGGAAGAACACCAGUGGCGAAGGCGGCUGUCUGGUCUGUAACUGACGCUGAGGCUCGAAAGUAUGGGUAGCAAACAGGAUUAGAUACCCUGGUAGUCCAUACCGUAAACGAUGAAUGCUAAGUGUUGGAGGGUUUCCGCCCUUCAGUGCUGCAGCUAACGCAUUAAGCAUUCCGCCUGGGGAGUACGGCCGCAAGGCUGAAACUCAAAGGAAUUGACGGGGGCCCGCACAAGCGGUGGAGCAUGUGGUUUAAUUCGAAGCUACGCGAAGAACCUUACCAGGUCUUGACAUACUAUGCAAAUCUAAGAGAUUAGACGUUCCCUUCGGGGACAUGGAUACAGGUGGUGCAUGGUUGUCGUCAGCUCGUGUCGUGAGAUGUUGGGUUAAGUCCCGCAACGAGCGCAACCCUUAUUAUCAGUUGCCAGCAUUAAGUUGGGCACUCUGGUGAGACUGCCGGUGACAAACCGGAGGAAGGUGGGGAUGACGUCAAAUCAUCAUGCCCCUUAUGACCUGGGCUACACACGUGCUACAAUGGAUGGUACAACGAGUUGCGAACUCGCGAGAGUAAGCUAAUCUCUUAAAGCCAUUCUCAGUUCGGAUUGUAGGCUGCAACUCGCCUACAUGAAGUCGGAAUCGCUAGUAAUCGCGGAUCAGCAUGCCGCGGUGAAUACGUUCCCGGGCCUUGUACACACCGCCCGUCACACCAUGAGAGUUUGUAACACCC
rnacentral:rRNA from 1 species